ACCUGUAAUUUGUGUCGGCUGUUGUGAUCUGCAGCCAUCAGUCAGUGUGCUCGCUACAUAUUUUGACUCUAAGGGUUGUGCAGAUCGGGACCUCUGGUGUUCAAACAGUGCAAUUGCAUUAGAUGCAUAAUUAAGAGAAUGCUCAUCAUAUACACCAGGUGUGUCCAAUCUUACCCUCAAAGGGCUGGUGUGGGUGCAGGUUUUCAUUCCAACCAAGCAGGAUCCACAGCUGAUUCCACCUGUUUAAUCAGUUGAUCUUGGCUUUCAAUAGACUCAGGAGUGGCUUCUGCUUGGUUGGAAUGAAAACCUGCACCCACACCAGCCCUUUCCGGAUAAUAUUGGACACCCCUGAUAUACAUGAUGCGAAUCGCACAUUUCUCGAAUGCAAAUAGUCACAAUUUUGCAUACUACUACUAAUCAGGAAUUAUAAAUGCCAUCACUGUCUGGUUGGAAAGCAUUGGGAAAACUUAUGGGCAUGAGGGCAUCCAUCCUGCCGGUGAAGAGCAAUAAUACAGAGUAGAGUGCUGGCUUUGUAUCCCUACCCUCAGCCUUGGGGUUGCCUAGAACCUUGAGAACCUCAGCAUUGACUGGGUUCUGGCCGAGGGCCCGCAUCACGUCCCCACACUGACUGUAGCAGAUCCUCCCAUCUCCUGUCCGG